GGGUCAUGGUAGCCGAGUAGGUAAAGCGCUUGUAGCUAUUUAUUCUGUACCAAAGGUCGAUGGUUCGAUUCCAUCCUGGCACA